AGGAUCGUAGUUUAAUGGUAGAAUGCUGGCCUCCGAAGCUAGCGGUGUAGGUUCGAUUCCUACCGAUCCUG
rnacentral:tRNA from 1 species